GUCUAGGGGUGGCGUAAUGCCUGAGAAAUACCCUCGAACCUGAUCUGGAUAAUGCCAGCGUAGGGAACGACGAG
rnacentral:ncRNA from 1 species